CCCCAACUUCCUCAGCCCCUUGGCCAGACACUCCGCCUGAAACGUCGGCGACCUGUCGGAGCUGUCCGUGAUUGAACCGCCGAAAAAGAGCAGGUCCGGCACGUAAACUGAGUACUUUUUUGUCAAUGAACCCACCUGGAAUUGCCAGGUGACAAUGCCGUCGGCCGCAAAGCCGUGCACCAGUACCACCACGGGUUUUGUUGGUUUGGCAGUGGAGUCGGCGGAGGCCUCAGUGGUUUUAGAUUUUUUUGGCUUUUGGAUUGUUUCAGAGGGGACCCAAAUGCUCAGAACCGUGCCUGGUUCGAUCUCGAUUGUGUGAGGUCGAAUCCCGGCCAUUUUCACCAGGCCAUACAACAGUGACCUUAGAGCUGCAACCAGGUUCACCAUCACCGUGCGUGUUAGUGCUACGGACAGCAAGUGAGAGGGAAUUUAACCAAGGAAAAAAGAGCGUAGGUGUUUGGCUGUUCCGCUGCUUCCUUGAUCAACUAUUUUGUGACCACUCAUUUUCAAUUAUAAAUUUCUAAUUUUCACAUUGUAAAUUUUAUCUCAUCCUGAUCUUCGUUUAUGUUUUCAUGUAUUUUAGAGUGUAUUUGAUUUGCUGUUUUCAAUUUUUAGUUUUUGUAAAAUAUUAAAAAUGUGUUUGGUCUGAUUUUUUGAACAUAUAUUUUCAAUUACAAGAAUAAAUUUAUAAAAUAAAACUCAAAAAAGCAUUUUUGACAUUUUGAUUAUUUUCGUUGAAAAUUCUGAAAAUAUUCAUGGAAAACAUAUGUUUAAUGAAAUUUGCUUAGAUAUUCUUGAAGUGGAACUUCUGACAAUAUGAUUCCAAUAUUGACACUUUCCUCGUAGGUCCCUUGCUCCACAGAGAGAAUUCAGCAGCUUGUUGAGCUGAUGAUCACAAGAUAGAAUAAUCAAGAAAAGGACAAGAACAUCUCCCGUGCGAUUGUGUUGGGUGAUAAUCAUUUAGCCCUAUCCGAUCCACAUUAUUUGAAAAAAAAAACGUUUUUAAACAAUAAUUUCAUAUCAUUUUAAUUAUACAUUCUUGAAUAAAAUAAUAUUACACAUAAAUUUAAAAAUUUUUCUUAUAUUUUAACCAAACAUUUCUCAUCAACUCACUAUUUAAAAAUACAUUUUUCUUUUUGAAAAUAAUGUGACUCAAAGAAGGGCUAUGUUUAAUUGCUACAGAGCAUCCACUGUAAAUUUAAUUUAACUUUUUUUCUUUUUUUUCUUUUUUCCAUUAUUACUUUGGUUAAUUGUUUAAAUAUCUGUUGCUUAUGACCUGGUUUAUUUGCAGACCUAAAAGGUAAUGAAUGAAAUGCAAGGACAUAAAUCUUGAACGACAGGUGAUGCUUCUGUUCAUAAAAUUUGUGAAAAAUAUCAGUAAAUGGGGAUGCAUUUUUUAAAAUGCUCAAAACAUGGUAAACAAAUGUUAGAUUUCUAACCAACCGAGGAAUUCCCUCCGUAUAAAGAAUAUUAGGGCGAGUCUCCAUUAUGUGUAUCAUAGUAGAGAGAAGACAUAAAGAUGCAAGAAUUCAAAACAUAUUGUAAUUCUCUUCUUCGGUAUGAUGUAAUUUCGACGGAUGCAUAUAGAUCUCACAUUAAGAGUGAAGGCAUGUGAAUUCUUUCAAGGCAAGGGGCGGCCUGAUUCGACAUUGUUGUUUACUCUGAUCCAGUCGAGGUGGUUCUCGUUUACCAACACGUAGGUGGUCUAAAUUCCUAUGACCGAGUCUUUCAAGUUAUGUCGUGUGUUAUUUUUGUUUUUCUUUCUUUUUCUGUAUGAUUAAUUGCUCUUGGUAAUACGGAUUAUUCCUUUAAUCCAUAACAAAUAGUAUUGCAACAUUGCUUAGUAAAGUUCCGAUGCUGAAACAUAAAUGUUCUUUUUCAUUUGUUUAACCAAAAUUUCUUAGUAACGUUGUGUUUAAUUAGUCCCUGCAUCAUCAUGUAGUUGAAUCACUUGCUUUUUUUAUCUUCAAAUCUUCUAACUUACUAUACUCUAAUGGCCAAGAACUCAUUACAAUGGUAGGAGUUUAUUGUUUCAAUCCAAGUGCGAGAUUCCUACACUUAAAAGACGGUUUUAGACCAUUUUCAUUCACGAAAAUUACAUAUUUUCGUCCAUAUCUUCUUCUUCUUUCAUAUGUAAAGGUCUUAAGAAAAUUGAAGGAAGUUUAUACUCCGAGAUCAUAAACGAAGCUAGAAUUUUCACACAUAGCCGAUCCUGGGCCGAGGCAUUUGAGGCCUACGCCUCAGGCCCAAAAUCAAAGGGGCCUAAUUGACCACUAACCACUUGCUCGCCGGCCGCUCGGGCUCCGCGUUUCAAGUUCGUUAUCCUAACCGUCUCCUCUCCUCCACCAGGAGCCUGGCCCCUUCUUCUAUCUUAUCUACUGCCUUGCUCCUCGGCUCCGGGUUUUUUAUUUAUUUAUUUAUUUAUUAAGGGUUUAGAGAGUUAAAGGCAAAAUUGAUUUUCCAUUCGUUUUUCCUCAUGCCUGUGACAAUGUGAACGAUGAUCCAUUUUAAUUUCAUCAAGACAAGGUCACAAAUUUUUUAAAACAACUCUAGAGUUUGUAUGUCAUUUUAAUUUUGUAUUGUUUCCGUAAAUUUGUAAUGCUUAAAUUUUUGCGUAAAUAAUCGAAAAUGUUACUAGAUGUGCAAAAUGGAAAAUAGGAAUUCGUUCAAUAUAUCCUGAUCCAAGAAUCUGUGUCCUACUUGAACCUGCAUCACGUUUGGUAUCUAUUUACUAUUUAGUGUCCCUGACUAGCAUAAGGUAAUAGGACAUUGUGUAAUGAUGAAAUUUUUAUUUCAGGCUUAUGAAUUGUGACGGUGGAAUUCUCAAGGGUGUGAUUCCAUAAUUUUCAUUGAAAUUUUACUUCUCAAUUCAACAACGACUUGAUGUUUGAAUCCUUGUCGGCUUAUAUAAUGAUGGCCUGAUCGGUUUAUAUGAUUGGUUAUUAUAUGAUUAAAAUUGCAUAGGCGUACGUAGUAACUAUAUUGAAAACUCUAAUUGUGAGAUAAUUGAGAUAUUUCGUAAUUGUCUUUUAGGUUAAUCGUUGGGCAUUAGGUUGCAUAAUAUAUCGUUGAACUAAUAUAUUUGUUCAUUAUUUUAAUGUUAAGUUUUAAGUUAGUAAUAGAAUGCAAGAUAUACCGUUGAAUUUUGUAUUUACGUUGAUUCCGUCUGGGGGCCCAAUUUAUGAACUUCGCCUCGGGCCCCGACAAUCACAUGACUGACCCUAUUUUCACAUAAAGAUGAAAAUUUGAACGAGAGACAAACUAUAUAUGUAUUAAUGUAUAAAAAUUAUUAUAUAAUUUCUAAACUUGAGAAAAAUUUAAAAAAUGCUUUAGGAUCUGUCACUCCCACCUCCCUCCCUGCAUCCACACAAAAGAGUUUCAUAGUUUGAAUUCAAAUCUAAAUCAAUCUCACCAAUCCAUUCUCUAACCUUUUUUAACAUCAAUCAAUAGCAUGAAUAAUGAAUUAAUACACCAAAGUCAUAGUGUUCUAUGACAUAUAAAAAAAUUAAAUAUCCAUUAUUUUUACAAAAGGAAAUUAAGGAGCAAAAUGAGUGGAGACUUGAAUUAAACUUCAUAUUUGGCUUGAUUUGCAUGUGCAUGGAAGGAAGCAAGAAAUUUGUUGAGACGCCUAUUGUAGACGCAUGGUCGUUCUAGGUGAACCAAAUGUCCUGCUUUCUCUAUGCCUUCAAUUGUAGCAUUGUCUCCGAGCUCCCUAUUUCAUGUAAAACAAUUUAACAAAUAUCAAGUAAAAUUUCACGUUUGUUAAAUCAAACAUCACAAGUAAUCACGUCUUGUCCUAACAUGGGUUAUCGUCCCUAAACGGGUUCAAUAGGACAUGCUUAGGACCGAGAAAGGUCAACUCCAUCUAAAAUGUUAACAAGUCGUCAGAAUUUAAGAUUAGUAUUCUCAUUCGAGCCAUUUUGAAGAACAUGUUAAAACUUACUCUUUCAUCUUCUGUGCAAGUUCCAGCUUGAAAAUCUGAUCAUUCUUGCCCCAAAGAAGAUGUAUCCUCUGUAAAAAAGACCUCAAAAUUUGGGUGAAAAUUAAUUAAAAAUAAUUACUUGGGUUAAACUUAGUUUAAAAGCCUAUGGUGAAAUAUACACCUGUGGAAACUCUGGGAUGUUAGUAUCUUUAUUGCUAACCACAAGACCUUCCAGCAACUCUUCCCUCUCUUUUCUGUUGUUGAACAUCACCUAUCAUCAAUGCAAAGUUAAACCACAUCAUUUUAAAUUUAUUUAAAUUAAUAAUCUUUUUUUUUUUUUUUUUUUUUUACAGUGACGUUACAGAAAAAAGAGACGACAGUACACAUAUUGCUUUUACGUCGUUGAUGAUGCAGGAAAAAACCAAUUAUGUUUGACUUAGUUUCUGUGCCUGUAUUCCCAAGAUUGAGUAAAGCAAAAGAACAAAUAUUGUGGUUAGUAAAGUGAAUCGAGAUGUUAGUUCUAUGGGUCGAACUUGUUAUUGUUUCAAAUUCUAUCGUAUGGACUGCGAACCAUAGAGCCAACUGCCAUUACCAAGGUCGACGAAAACUAGAUCCAUGAUGAUUGAUGGGUCAGACCAAUCCAUCCCGGUUUUGGACUGUCCAGGGUACGGUGGAUAUAUCGACAAACGUAAUGAAAAGAAAUAUUCGGUUUGACCGUUGCAACUAACCUCAAGAAAGUCCUUGUGAAGCCGAUCAGGGAACCAAAGCUUCUUAUGAGCGGCAACUUUGAGAAGUGCCCGGCAGCCCUUAACGGUAGUCGGCAACAAAAGCUCCGCCGAUGAAUUAAACCCAAGGCUGCUAAGUGUUGUAUGGCUAAUGGAGUCCGUCAUAGCCAGAAUUGAACCAGAAACCACCAGUGCUUCCACCAAAUCAGGGUACAAUUCUGCCAUCUUAAACGCAACCAUACCGCCGUAGCUAAAUCCAACCAACGUGCACUUCUCAAUCCCCAACUUCCUCAGCCCCUUGGCCAGACACUCAGCCUGAAACCUCGGCGACCUGUCGGAGCUGUCAGUGACUGAACUGCCGAAAAAGAGCAGGUCCGGCACGUAAACUGAGUACUUUUUUGUCAAUGAACCCACCUGAAAUUGCCAGGUGACAAUACCCUCGGCCGCAAAGCCGUGGACUAGUACCACUACGGGUUUCGUUGGUUUGACAGUGGUGGCGACCUCGGCGGUUUUAGAUUUUUUUGGCUUUUGGAUUGUUUCAGAGGGGACCCAAAUGCUCAUAACUGUGCCCGGUU
rnacentral:lncRNA from 1 species